UACGGACUUAACUUCUACAUUGGGCGUUGGGGAAGACUAGAGGCAACUGGGACUUCUCCAGAUCCUUGCUGCAUGGUGUGCUCUGGUGUCUCUCAAAAGCCAAGCAGAACAACUGUAUGUGUACUUCUCAGAGUGUACAUGAUGGCUCAGUUGUGUUGGGUGGGAAUUCCUGACCCGUUCAACUGGAAUUCAGGAUUCUCAGUUCCCUUCACAUGUGUCUGUGGUCCUGUCUGUUCCCUCCUUGAUGUCUUUGCCCUCUGUACCUGGCUUCAGCCAUAACGUUUCUGUUAUAAGCAAAAAUCAGAGGUCUUUCUCUGGUGAGAGAGUCCUCUGUGGAUAUGAGGGAAGGAGCCUGGGCAGGGAGGUUGCCAAGAAGGGCAUGAGGAGAUGAACUGGAUUCCGUUUCACCCUUGGGUGCCAUUCAGAACAUCAGUGACUUACUGGAGUUAGGUGAUCAGUUUCUGCCUGUUUAUGAGGAAGCUGUGCCCUGUACCUUUCUCUUCCUGAUGGAAAAGAGCUGCUGGGAGGCUUUUUAAGGCUUGGGAGUUGUUCGUGUGUGGUGGGUGACGGAACUGGGCAGAGCACAGGUCUGAACCCCAGU